UACGUAGGGUGCAAGCGUUAAUCGGAAUUACUGGGCGCAAAGCGUGCGCAGGCGGUUUUGUAAGUCUGUCGUGAAAUCCCCGGGCUCAACCUGGGAAUUGCGAUGGAGACUGCAAGGCUAGAAUCUGGCAGAGGGGGGUAGAAUUCCACGUGUAGCAGUGAAAUGCGUAGAGAUGUGGAGGAACACCGAUGGCGAAGGCAGCCCCCUGGGUCAAGAUUGACGCUCAUGCACGAAAGCGUGGGGAGCAAACAGG
rnacentral:rRNA from 1 species